rnacentral:tRNA from 1 species
GGCGCUGUGCCGGAGUGGCUAACGGACCUGCCUGCAAAGCAGGGUUUCGCGGGUUCGAAUCCCGCCAGCGCCU